CCUACGUGGUGCUGCAGUGGGGAAUUUUGGACAAUGGGCGCAAGCCUGAUCCAGCUAUUCCGCGUGUGGGAUGACGGCCUUCGGGUUGUAAACCACUUUUGUAGAGAACGUAAAGUCUGUUGCUAAUACCGAUAGAUGAUGACGGUACUCUAAGAAUAAGCACCGGCUAACUACGUGCCAGCAGCUGCGGUAAUACGUAGGGUGCGAGUGUUAAUCGGAAUUACUGGGCGUAAAGGGUGUGCAGGUGGUUUUGCAAGAUGGAUGUGAAAGCCCCGGGCUUAACCUGGGAAAGCAAUACAUGACUGCAAGACUAGAGUGCGUCAGAGGGGGGUGGAAUUCCAAGUGUAGCAGUGAAAUGCGUAGAUAUUUGGAAGAACACCGAUGGCGAAGGCAGCCCCCUGGGACGCAACUGACGCUCAUACACGAAAGCGUGGGGAGCAAACAGGAUUAGAUACCCUUGUAGUC
rnacentral:rRNA from 1 species